rnacentral:rRNA from 1 species
GAUGAACGCUCGCGGCGUGCCUAAUACAUGCCAGUCGAGCGAACAGACGAGGAGCUUGCUCCUCUGACGUUAGCGGCGGACGGGUGAGUAACACGUGGAUAACCUACCUAUAAGACUGGGAUAACUUCGGGAAACCGGAGCUAAUACCGGAUAAUAUAUUGAACCGCAUGGUUCAAUAGUGAAAGACGGUUUUGCUGUCACUUAUAGAUGGAUCCGCGCCGCAUUAGCUAGUUGGUAAGGUAACGGCUUACCAAGGCAACGAUGCGUAGCCGACCUGAGAGGGUGAUCGGCCACACUGGAACUGAGACACGGUCCAGACUCCUACGGGAGGCAGCAGUAGGGAAUCUUCCGCAAUGGGCGAAAGCCUGACGGAGCAACGCCGCGUGAGUGAUGAAGGUCUUCGGAUCGUAAAACUCUGUUAUUAGGGAAGAACAAAUGUGUAAGUAACUAUGCACGUCUUGACGGUACCUAAUCAGAAAGCCACGGCUAACUACGUG